rnacentral:rRNA from 1 species
UACGGGGGGAGCAAGCGUUGUUCGGAUUUACUGGGCGUAAAGGGCGCGUAGGCGGCCAGCACAAGUCAGUUGUGAAAUCUCCGAGCUUAACUCGGAACGGUCAACUGAUACUGUGCGGCUAGAGUGCGGAAGGGGCAACUGGAAUUCUUGGUGUAGCGGUGAAAUGCGUAGAUAUCAAGAGGAACACCUGCGGCGAAGGCGGGUUGCUGGGCCGACACUGACGCUGAUGCGGCGAAAGCCCAGGGGAGCGAACGGG